GACGAACGCUGGCGGCGUGCCUAAUACAUGCAAGUCGAGCGAAGUUUUUCUGGUGCUUGCACCGGAAAAACUUAGCGGCGAACGGGUGAGUAACACGUAAAGAACCUGCCUUAUAGACUGGGACAACUAUUGGAAACGAUAGCUAAUACCGGAUAACAGCAUUAACUGCAUGGUUGAUGUUUGAAAGUUGGUUUUGCUAACACUAUGAGAUGGCUUUGCGGUGCAUUAGCUAGUUGGUGGGGUAAAGGCCUACCAAGGCGACGAUGCAUAGCCGACCUGAGAGGGUGAUCGGCCACACUGGGACUGAAACACGGCCCAGACUCCUACGGGAGGCAGCAGUAGGGAAUCUUCCGCAAUGGGCGAAAGCCUGACGGAGCAACGCCGCGUGAGUGAAGAAGGAUUUCGGUUCGUAAAGCUCUGUUGUUAGGGAAGAAUGAUUGUGUAGUAACUAUACACAGUAGAGACGGUACCUAACCAGAAAGCCACGGCUAACUACGU
rnacentral:rRNA from 1 species